rnacentral:rRNA from 1 species
AUUCGCCCUUAGAGUUUGAUCCUGGCUCAGGACGAACGCUGGCGGCGUGCCUAACACAUGCAAGUCGAGCGGGGAUUUGGGAGCUUGCUUCCGGAUCCUAGCGGCGGACGGGUGAGUAACGCGUGAGCAACCUGCCUUUCACAGGGGGAUAACGCAUCGAAAGAUGUGCUAAUACCGCGUAAGACCACGGCACCGCAUGGUGCAGGGGUCAAAGGAGCAAUCCGGUGAGAGAUGGGCUCGCGUCCGAUUAGCUAGUUGGUGAGAUAACGGCCCACCAAGGCGACGAUCGGUAGCCGACUUGAGAGGGUGAUCGGCCACAUUGGAACUGAGAUACGGUCCAGACUCCUACGGGAGGCAGCAGUGGGGAAUAUUGGGCAAUGGGCGAAAGCCUGACCCAGCAACGCCGCGUGAGGGAAGAAGGGUUUCGGCUCGUAAACCUCUGUCCUAUGGGACGAAUAAGAUGACGGUACCAUAGGAGGAAGCCCCGGCUAACUACGUGCCAGCAGCCGCGGUAAUACGUAGGGGGCGAGCGUUGUCCGGAAUGAUUGGGCGUAAAGGGCGCGUAGGCGGCUUGCUAAGUCUGGAGUGAAAGUCCUGCUUUCAAGGUGGGAAUUGCUUUGGAUACUGGUAGGCUGGAGUGCAGGAGAGGAAAGCGGAAUUACCGGUGUAGCGGUGAAAUGCGUAGAGAUCGGUAGGAACACCAGUGGCGAAGGCGGCUUUCUGGACUGAAACUGACGCUGAGGCGCGAAAGCGUGGGGAGCAAACAGGAUUAGAUACCCUGGUAGUCCACGCGGUAAACGAUGAAUGCUAGGUGUAGGAGGUAUCCACCCCUUCUGUGC